rnacentral:rRNA from 1 species
AGUCGAGCGGAUGAAGGAGCUUGCUCCUGGAUUCAGCGGCGGACGGGUGAGUAAUGCCUAGGAAUCUGCCUGGUAGUGGGGGACAACGUUUCGAAAGGAACGCUAAUACCGCAUACGUCCUACGGGAGAAAGCAGGGGACCUUCGGGCCUUGCGCUAUCAGAUGAGCCUAGGUCGGAUUAGCUAGUUGGUGAGGUAAUGGCUCACCAAGGCGACGAUCCGUAACUGGUCUGAGAGGAUGAUCAGUCACACUGGAACUGAGACACGGUCCAGACUCCUACGGGAGGCAGCAGUGGGGAAUAUUGGACAAUGGGCGAAAGCCUGAUCCAGCCAUGCCGCGUGUGUGAAGAAGGUCUUCGGAUUGUAAAGCACUUUAAGUUGGGAGGAAGGGUUGUAGAUUAAUACUCUGCAAUUUUGACGUUACCGACAGAAUAAGCACCUGCUAACUCUGUGCCAGCAGCCGCGGUAAUACAGAGGGUGCAAGCGUUAAUCGGAAUUACUGGGCGUAAAGCGCGCGUAGGUGGUUUGUUAAGUUGGAUGUGAAAUCCCCGGGCUCAACCUGGGAACUGCAUCCAAAACUGGCAAGCUAGAGUAUGGUAGAGGGUGGUGGAAUUUCCUGUGUAGCGGUGAAAUGCGUAGAUAUAGGAAGGAACACCAGUGGCGAA